UUGUUUUGUUUUGAUAUUCAACCUAAUUUUCAACUAAAGCUGCCCAAAAAUAUAUACUUAAUGUUGCAAAUGAAAAACAAAACAAACAAUGAACCCAAAAAAAGUGCCACUGCGCUACUGGAGUUUCAAUUUGAUAGAGCGAAAUAAGAAAUUGGGCAAUGAAUGAUUAUCACAGAAGUCCAAAUAGUCAUGCAAGGGGCAAUAUGGAUCUUCUGAAAAUUGCGCAAAAACUUGUUGCUGCUCUUCAUUUCAAAUCUUCUAGCAUCCCUGAUCAUUGUUAUGUCGCUGUCAUGUCAGCAUCCAUCAUUCAGUCUUCAGUUUUUUUAAUUUAUUCCGCGGCUUUAGUCUCCAGAGUUAUUGUGUUGCUUGUCUCUGUUUAUCGGUUUUGAUCGUUUUGAUUGAGUGUUCACGAGUGAGGGAAUUACUUCUGCGUGGUACAAACCGUCGAAGCUAGCGGUCACUGUGGUUCCGUAGAAUUCAGGAAAGGCAGCUACCUCAAUUUAAGAAUUUGGCUUUUAUCAUUUGCUAGAACAUAACGGAACUUCAAUGAAAUUUACACCAAAGGAAGAUGGUGCAUUUGACCGCGAUGAGUAAGUGAGAAACUAUAAUGUUGCGUUGUAUAAACAGGGAUACCAUCUGGCCGGAGGUGUGAAUCAGGACCUUUCAUAGUUUCAAAACCCACCCUGGUAGAGGCAGUUAUAAUAAAACCGGAGCGCUAGCCCCGCAAUUACUUUGUAUGCUAAUAGCUGUCCGCGAAGUCUGUGCUUAAUAAAUAUUAGGGUCAAGUUUGUACAGCGUAAUGUUCGUACCAAUACUUUGCCUUUUAUUUGAUUUACGCUUUUUUGAUUUAACUGUUAUAGAUAUGAAGAGGCAGAUAAAUGAGUAGAAUGCUUGUCUGAGAGGCACACUGUCGCAGUGAAAAAAUAUGACAUCGAGGGGUUCAAUUCUGUUAAAACCGAGGGGCAUUUCAAAGGCGUGCGACACGCCUCGCGGGACAAAUUUCUGAGCGGGACAUGUUGUUGAAAUGAGGGACCGUAUAGUCACUUCAUAAUUAGAUGUUUAACGAUUUCAACACCUAGAAGAUUCCUCUCGUCACUUCGCUGAGAUUCAACAGAAGAAAAAAUUCGUUUGCGUUGUGUCUCGGAAUGGUUCACUUUGAAAACCAGGACAAAUGCCAGAAUAUAAAAAAUAAAUCAGUACGCUCAAAUAGGAUCUCAGAAUUAGGACAUGCCCUGCUAAAUCAGGACGGAUGGUAUCCCUAUGUAUAAAUGUACAUAUAUUAUUGUUUUGAACGCUUCGUAUCGUAUUAGUAUUAGUUCGUAAAAGGGAUACUUGGUCAGCAAUAAUAAAAGUGUUAAAAAUAUUUUUUUUAACACUUUUACUAUUGCUUACGAAGGUUCAUUUGUAACUCAAGUGUUUUAUAGUAAAUUAUCAAUUGUUCAUUUUGUGUGGCUAAUCAAUCAACACUAUUUUAAUGUGAAAUUAUAAU